UGUGUAUGUGUGGGUUUAUUUCUGGGCUCUCGAUUCUGUUCCAUUAGUCUAUAGCUGAGGCACUGGCAGGCAUGAUGCCUUGCUGGGUCCUGUGACAAAUGCCACUGGUGGCAGUACAAAGCCAAAAAGGGAUAUAAUCAUAUCUAUAGGAGCAGGAGCUGUUUCUGGGUCCAGCUGGGACCACAACUGGCAAUUAAGCAGCUUGAGCAUGGGUCUGCCUUCUCAAAACAGACCUUGUUGGUCUUGGGCUCCAGUGGGGUUUAAUAACUUCCUGCCUGGAUCCCAAAUCUCCUACUAAGGCACUUUAGUCCAAGACAGCUGCCAAAUUAUUUCUUUAAUUAUUGUAGUUUUUAUUUGUAUCUAUCUUUAGCUAUACCAUCACCAGUGCUAUCAUAAUAUUAAUGGAUCCUUAGUAGAUCCAUGCACUGGUCUAAGCAUUGUGCAAUAUUAGCUCAUUUAAACCCUUUGAGGUAGGAACUAUUAUUUCCAUUCUGCAGUUGAGGAAACUGAAACACAAGAAGGCUAAGUACCUUGACCAGUGACACACAGCUGGGAAGUAACAGAGCAGCACUUGACUGCAGAGAGUUUGGUUUCAUUUCAUUCCAUCUUCUCAGGGGCUUUUCCCAGAGGCAACCCUAGAGGACCAACAAACAAAGAAAACAGACUUGUCAUGCCAAGGCAGAACAGGGGGGACGUGGGAUGAACUGGGAGUUUGGGGUUAGUAGAUACAAACUGUUACAUUUAGAAUGAAUAAGCAGUGAGGUCCUACUGCAUAGCACAGGGAACUAUAUCCAAUCUCCCGGGAUAGGACAUGACAGAAAAUAAUAUUUUUUAAAAAAGAAAUGUGUAUACAUGAAUGUGUAACUGGAUCACCAUGCUGUAUAGUAGGAAAAAAAUAAUGUAUUGGGGAAAUUAAAAAAAAAGAAUUGUGUAUAUAUGUAUGAUUGAAUCAUUUUGAUGUACAGCAGAAAUUGACAACAACACUGUAAAUCAACUAUACUUUAAAAAAAAAAGAAAGAGAAUUCUUGCUGUGGCACCAUGAGGUCAGCAGCAUCUCUGCAGCACUAGGAUGCAGGUUCAGUUCCCCAGUCCAGCACAGUGGGUUAAGGAUCUGGGAUUGCCCAGCUGUGGCAUGGGUCGCAACUAUGGCUCAGAUCUGAUCCCAAACCUAAGAACUCCAUAUGCCACAAGACAGCCAGAAAAGAAAGGAAAACAAACAAAAAAAAACCUGCAUUGACCAGUCUCCCUUGUAGCAUUGUGAUCAUGUGACAGUUGUAGCAACCGAAAUGCAAAUCAAGUCACUAGUUGGAGCCUCUAGAAGAGCUCGCUAUAGGGAAAGAUUUGGCUCCCACCAGUCUUGUUUUCCCUGGGUUUCCUUUCUCCUGCCUGGAACAGGAAUGUGAUCCUGGCAGUAGAACAGCCAUCUUGCAUUGAGGUAUCUGAUAGGAAAAUGAAUGCCACCAGCUGCCAAGUUAUUAUUGCUGAGCAGGAAUACAAAUAGGAGACCCCUAUUCUGCUAUCUGCUGACACCACUCCCUGUGAAAAUAUUAUUUGUUAAAAUUUUGAUUCACCUUUUAGAAUUAGUCUGUGUGUGUGUGUGUGUGUGUGCACAUGCACCCUUCUGACUGACUUAACAACUAUCCUGAUGUUACCCAAAGAAAUCCCUCCAGGGCAUGUUUAUAAGUGAUUCUAAUCAAAAUUAAAAUAAGCAUUCUUCUUCACUAACAAAAGCCAUAAGAACAUGUUUCUUAACUUUCCUAAAACUUCUAAAGCCACUAAAACUUGUAGGUACCAGGAAACAGAAACCUCUGCAGACCAGCAUCAUCUAAAGCAAAUCUUUAAAGAUGAGGGUAGGGCAGCAAAUGGGUAAUGAACCAUGCAGAGCUGGCUUUGAGAGGCACCCAGUUUGAAAAGAGCAUUGUCAAGCUGACAGAAGCAUUUGUCUUGGUAAAUAUUCUUCUUCAUUCCUAAAGCAUUCAACCAUGAGAAGGUGAGCACAGACAGCAGUCUAAAAGUCUCUAAUGAAUACUUGUAACACACAAGUUGAAAAAUUCUUGAUCUCUCUGCCCUUUGUGAAAAAUAGCAAGAACUGGAGUUGGUGUUAAAGAUGAGGGAGGCUUCCACUUCCAGCCACGAUGGGCCAGCCUGCGGCAAAAUGAGCCUCUCCCCAAGAAAAUCUCAAACAGAUGAACAAAAUACAGGAGACAUCAGGCGGAAGAUACCAGAGAGCUCCCAAGGCAGCCAGGACUCGAGGAGCACGUUACUGGAGAGAACUGAAGCCCAGAGACGUGAACUGAACAUUCUGGGCCCCUUUGCCCUCAGGUAUUUGAUAAUUCAGUUGAUACCUAAGCAAAAAAGGAUUUUUUAAUCCAAAAGAAAAUAUAGAGGGCAUAUGCCCGAUUUAUGUCAUGAGGCCAAGCUAACUUUCAUAUUAAAACCUGAAAAGAACAUUGCAAGGAAAGUGAAUUACAGACUAAUAUCUAUCAUGAACGUAGUUCCAAAAUUGACUUCAAUAUAAUCCAUAAAUAUAUAAAAAAUUAAUACAUCACGGUUCAUUUGAAUUUAUUCUAGGAAGGCAACAUUGUUCCCACAUUAGAAAAACCAAACAGAAGAGAAAAAAAGGGAGGAAGGCAGGAAGAGGUGGGGAGGGAGGGGAAAAAGCAAGCCAAAUAAUUCACCAUACCAAGAGAAAAAAAUAAAUCUUUCCAAUAGAUGCCAGGAAAAGGACAUGAAAAAAAUCCGUAUAAAAACGUCAGCAAACUAAAACAGAAGACUCUGACGUUAGUUUGAUCUUGAGGCUCAUCCACAAAAUACCUACAACAAACAUCCUACCUAAUGGUAAAAUACUGAAACCUUAUCUCCUAUGAUAAGGAACAGAUAAAAACCCCUCUAUCACCACUUCAAUUCCACAUUGCAGCUUCGGUCCUUAGCUGUGUGUGGAUGUAAGUAAAAUAACUACCAGGAGUUCCUGUCGUGGCACAGUGGUUAACGAAUCCGACCAGGAACCAUGAGGUUGCGGGUUCGAUCCCUGGCCUUGCUCAGAGGGUUGACAAUCCGGCGUUGCCAUGAGCUGCGGUGUAGGUAGCAGACGAGGCUCAGAUCCCGCAUUGCUGUGGCUCUGGUGUAGGCCGGUGGCUACAGCUCCAGUUCGACCCCUAGCCUGGGAACCUCCAUAUGCCAAGGGAACAGCCCAAGAAAU
rnacentral:lncRNA from 1 species